rnacentral:rRNA from 1 species
CCGCCAUAGGAUGGGUCUGCGGCCGAUUAGGUAGUUGUUGGGGUAACGGCCCAACAAGCCUGUAAUCGGUACGGGUUGUGGGAGCAAGAGCCCGGAGAUGGAUUCUGAGACACGAAUCCAGGCCCUACGGGGCGCAGCAGGCGCGAAAACUUUACAAUGCGCGAAACCGUGAUAAGGGAACUCCGAGUGCCCGUAAAUCGGGCUGUUCAUCAGUUUAAAAAACUGGUGAAGAAAGGGCCGGGCAAGACCGGUGCCAGCCGCCGCGGUAAUACCGGCGGCUCGAGUGGUGGCCACUAUUACUGGGCUUAAAGCGUUCGUAGCUGGUUUGUUAAGUCUCUGGGGAAAUCUUCCGGCUUAACCGGAAGGCGUCUCAGGGAUACUGGCAGACUAGGGACCGGGAGAGGUGAGGGGUACUCCAGGGGUAGGAGUGAAAUCCUGUAAUCCUUGGGGGACCACCUGUGGCGAAGGCGCCUCACCAGAACGGCUCCGACAGUGAGGGACGAAAGCUGGGGGAGCAAACCGGAUUAGAUACCCGGGUAGUCCCAGCCGUAAACGAUGCGCGUUAGGUGUAUCGGUGACCACGAGUAACCGAGGUGCCGAAGAGAAAUCGUGAAACGCACCGCCUGGGAAGUACGGUCGCAAGGCUGAAACUUAA